rnacentral:rRNA from 1 species
GAUGAACGCUGGCGGCGUGCCUAAUACAUGCAAGUCGAGCGAACAGAUAAGGAGCUUGCUCCUUUGACGUUAGCGGCGGACGGGUGAGUAACACGUGGGUAACCUACCUAUAAGACUGGAAUAACUCCGGGAAACCGGGGCUAAUGCCGGAUAACAUUUAGAACCGCAUGGUUCUAAAGUGAAAGAUGGUUUUGCUAUCACUUAUAGAUGGACCCGCGCCGUAUUAGCUAGUUGGUAAGGUAACGGCUUACCAAGGCAACGAUACGUAGCCGACCUGAGAGGGUGAUCGGCCACACUGGAACUGAGACACGGUCCAGACUCCUACGGGAGGCAGCAGUAGGGAAUCUUCCGCAAUGGGCGAAAGCCUGACGGAGCAACGCCGCGUGAGUGAUGAAGGUCUUCGGAUCGUAAAACUCUGUUAUUAGGGAAAAACAAAUGUGUAAGUAACUGUGCACGUCUUGACGGUACCUAAUCAGAAAGCCACGGCUAACUACGUG